CAGCCGCCGCGGGAAUACGUAGGCAGCGAGCGUUAAUCGGAAUUACUGGGCGUAAAGCGUGCGCAGGCGGUUUUGUAAGACAGGCGUGAAAUCCCCGGGCUCAACCGGGGAGGGUCAUUGGAAACUGGGAAACUUGAGUGCAGAAGAGGAGAGUGGAAUUCCACGUGUAGCGGUGAAAUGCGUUGAGAUCGGAAAGAACACCAACAGCGAAAGCACUCUGCUGGGCCGACACUGACACUGAGAGACGAAAGCUAGGGGAGCAAAUGGGAUUAGAUACCCCUGUAGUCCCUGUCUCUUAUAU
rnacentral:rRNA from 1 species